GAUGAACGCUGGCGGCGUGCCUAAUACAUGCAAGUCGAGCGAACGGACGAGAAGCUUGCUUCUCUGAUGUUAGCGGCGGACGGGUGAGUAACACGUGGAUAACCUACCUAUAGGACUGGGAUAACUUCGGGAAACCGGAGCUAAUACCGGAUAAUAUUUUGAACCGCAUGGUUCAAAAGUGAAGGACGGUCUUGCUGUCACUUAUAGAUGGAUCCGCGCUGCAUUAGCUAGUUGGUAAGGUAACGGCUUACCAAGGCAACGAUGCAUAGCCGACCUGAGAGGGUGAUCGGCCACACUGGAACUGAGACACGGUCCAGACUCCUACGGGAGGCAGCAGUAGGGAAUCUUCCGCAAUGGGCGAAAGCCUGACGGAGCAACGCCGCGUGAGUGAUGAAGGUCUUCGGAUCGUAAAACUCUGUUAUUAGGGAAGAACAUAUGUGUAAGUAACUGUGCACAUCUUGACGGUACCUAAUCAGAAAGCCACGGCUAACUACGUG
rnacentral:rRNA from 1 species